AUUGAACGCUGGCGGCAUGCCUUACACAUGCAAGUCGAACGGCAGCAUGGAGAGCUUGCUCUCUGAUGGCGAGUGGCGAACGGGUGAGUAAUGCAUCGGAACGUACCGUGUAAUGGGGGAUAACGUAGCGAAAGUUACGCUAAUACCGCAUACGACCUGAGGGUGAAAGCAGGGGAUCGCAAGACCUUGCGUUAUACGAGCGGCCGAUGUCAGAUUAGCUAGUUGGUGAGGUAAAGGCUCACCAAGGCGACGAUCUGUAGCGGGUCUGAGAGGAUGAUCCGCCACGCUGGGGCUGAGACACGGCCCAGACUCCUACGGGAGGCAGCAGUGGGGAAUUUUGGACAAUGGGGGCAACCCUGAUCCAGCCAUGCCGCGUGAGUGAAGAAGGCCUUCGGGUUGUAAAGCUCUUUCGGCCGGGAAGAAAUCGCACAGGCUAAUACUCUGUGUGGAUGACGGUACCGGCAUAAGAAGCACCGGCUAACUACGUGCCAGCAGCCGCCGUAA
rnacentral:rRNA from 1 species